GCCUCCCCUCCCCUCCUCUCCCACUCGUCCUCCUCCCCGCUCCCCUUCCUGGCGGCGCUCCCGACCGCCGCACGACGUCUUCUCUUCCCCACCGUCGAACUCAGGCCGCCGCUCCGCCCCCCGUCCCCGUCGCACCUCCCCUCGAGCCGCCGGCUGGCGCUCUCCCUUCACCGGAGGAGUUGGGUGAGAGGAGCGUGGGCCUUCGCCGUCCUCGUGCACCCCAUGUCGCCGCCUUCUCCUCCGCGCGCCCAGUCGGCCGCCGCUCCUCUGCGCCGCCUUCCUCCUCCUCCUCCUCGAGGCCGUCCAGGAUCAAGCGUGGGCCGCGUGGAUAGCAAGGUGGCAGAGCUGUCCGCGGCAUAGUCGUGGGCGGGAGGAGCAGGAGGCCUAGCCAUCUGCGGCGCCGUCGCUGCCGUGCCUCAAUCCAGGACGAGAAGCUCGUCCUCCUGCUCCACCAUAUGCCCGUGUGCAGCUUGCAGAUGCAGACUGGUGUUCGUGCUGCCUCUCCAUCCCACAAAGUGUUUCCGCCUCAGGGAUUGGUUGGACAUUGCCAAGCCAAUAUGAUUCUAACUUUGCCUACAUCUGUUUAGGAGAAGAAAUAGAGGCGCGUGGACAUGUGCAUGUUUGCUCUGAAUAAAUCAUGUUUGUUGCAGUAACAAGGUUUUUAGUAGUAUGCAAUUUCUGCCAAAAGCGACUACAACUUUGAGAAGCCCAUCCUUUACCUUGCAAGCAAACUGGCUAGAGAAAGCAGGAAGAGGAGGAAGCAUAGAGGGAGAAGGGUGAGGAAGAGAAGAGCCUGACCGACACGUUGCGUCUCCCAUAGGCACUGCGAUGUGAGAGUCAUAUAUAGUAAAAAGGACUGAAUCUGCCGAGCACCGGAGCUGUCCCUCAGAUCCAACCACAACAGUUGGUUGAUUUAUCCCGAUCUACUUAGCUGGUUUCAUUGCAGGGUUACUCUUGCCUUCGAUAUUUCGACCUUCUUUGUGCUUCAAUUAUCCAGAUUCCUACAGAAGGACGGAUACCCUUUCUUUUCUAUUGGAUGGGCAACAACAUAACCCCGCUGUGCGUAUGUGGCCGGACUAUAAUAACAACUAUGGUAUGAAAGCGGCAAGGAGGUGCUACCUGAUAUACAUCAAUGACGAUGAAGAUUCGGGCGGCGGCUAGGGUUCGAUUUCUGCCGUGGAUGAUGGAUCUCGGCUCUUCCCCUGGUUGAUUGCGAUGGAUGAGGAUAAGGGUUAGGGUUGGCCCUUGGUCUCAGGUUGCCGCGUCGUCCUCGUCUUGGGCUUGCAAGGGAUUGGAUCCGGUGUGAUUGAUUCUUCCUCUCGCAAGCUUGGGAGGGAUAAAAGAGGUCACUGGUAGAUGAUGGGGGAGCAAGCAAGGACUGAUGGGUGCAUCACUACACUGCUACCCGUUUCUCAACUUUUGCUUUACACGACACUAUUUCGACAGAAUAUUGUACGAAGGGUGGACUAUGAAGGGAAACACUGGUGUUCUAAGAUAGAUGUUCUGUGUUUGAGAUCUUGCCUUGGUAGCUGGAUGCCUUGGUGCAAGACAUUCAAGGUUGUUUGAUGUGUUUGUGCUCGUCGGCGGGACGGUGCAAGGCGCAACUCCGACGCGGUUCCUCGCCGGUUGGACGGCGUUCAGGCGCAACCCCGGCGCGCACUGAGUACUGCCUCGGCUACAGCCUCCCUCGGUGAGGUCCAUCUUCCUCCCGCUCCUCUGCUUCGGCUACUGUAUGGGACAUGGCCAUGGCUAUACUGAUGUGGUGCUUGUCUGGUUGAUGCUCUAUGCCCUACUCAUGCAUCGGUUCCUACUUGAGCUCUGUACUUGUGGAUCCAUGCCAUUUUAGGGUUUGCAGGCUGCUGUUCAUGUUUAGUUGCUAUCAUAGGAGCUAAUGUGAUGCUCUGGUUUACAUGUGGAUGCCCUGGUCCUAUAGCUAUGCUCCUGGAUUUGAUAGAUUGAUCAGUGGCGUUCGUGCUUGGGCGAUGAUGAUUAAUCGUGGCUGAAAUAAGUGUGCCUUUGAGCAAUCGUGGCACCUGUGCGUAUCAGGUUGGAUCCUCCCUCUUGUCUCUAGAAUCCUUUUUGAUCCUGUGAUACUUGUUGUUGUCCUUGGAUGGUCAUUCUUGUUGAGUGAUAACCAGGGCAACUCCACUGUAUGAACAGAUUGAUCUGGUGAUAAGAGAUGACGGGGGUAGGUUAUAUGAUCGAGGAAAGGUGAAUCUGAGCCCGAUAUGCAUCCCCUUGUUAGAGUCUGAACCGAAAAGGAGCUCUCCCGUGCGUUUCCACUUGUUAGAGUCUGAACCGAAAUGGAGCUCUCCCGUGCGUUUGGAUUCUGGACCGUCGGAUCAAAAUCUCCUCGCGAUACAAGCCGUCGGAUCUCGAUCCAAAUCGCUGUGGGUCGUUGGAUAUUUACCGAUCAACUUCGGCCGUCGGAUAAAAUUCCAAUGGCAACAGAAUGUAAAUAUCGUGCCCCCACCAGGGCAUCUGGGUCAUUUUGCUUGGGGGGGGGGGGGGGUUAUAAAAUGACCGCGGCUUCCUGCGAUGAAAACCUAGCUGCCGCCUCCUCUCUCACUCGCUCUUCUAGCUGCCUCCCUCCCUCCCACGCAGGUGGUUCCCAUGGCGAUGGCGGCAGCGGCCACGGAGGAGGGCGGCAUAUCAGCGGCGCCGGCAAUGGUGUCCGUGCCGGCUAUGCAAUGAACCCUGAACCAUUUUUAUUUGUAUUUAAAGGUGUUGCUUAUUUAUGCUCAAGUGGUGUUCGUGCUAGGGCGAUGAUGAUUACCUUGGCUGGAAUUAGUGUGCCUUUGAGCAAUCGAGGCACCAGUGGGUAUCAAGUUGGAUCCUCCCUCUUGUCUCUAGAAUCCUUUUUGAUCCUGUGAUACUUGUUGUUGUCCUUGGAUGGUCAUUCUUGUUGAGUGAUAACCAGGGCAGCUCUACUGUAUAAACAGAUCGAUCUGGUGAUAAGAGAUGAUGGGGUAGGUUAUAUGAUCGACGAAAGGCAAAUCUGAGCCCACUAUGCAAUAAAACUGCAGUACCUCCCCUAAUGUUUGUAAUAUUGAAGGAAAAAAAGAACUUUUCAUGUCUUGCUACUUUAAAAUUCCAAAAGGUUCAUUCUUCCUUUGCUGGUUACUUAACCAUGUUUUUUGUUUUGCUUUGGUUCUGGUUGAGAUACUAAAGGUUGUUUUUAUAUGAAAAGAACAGACACUUAUAGUUUUGUAUGCCUCAACUGUAGCUCAGGAUCCAGUGUUGUAGUGUUUUGCCUAAUUAAAAAAAACUCUAAUCAAUAAUAGUCGUUCUUUCCUUAUGAUUUGAACUCUGAGAGGGCCAUUGAUUCUUGAUCUUAAGGUGACCCCAUUUUUCUAUGCGUCAUGCUGCUCUAUGUUCCUUUUUAAAAAUUCUUGCUUGCAUUUUGGGUUGGUUUUCUGCUCUAUGUUCCCUUUUAGUGUUUCUUUCCGUUGUUGCUGCACUCCCUUUUCUGUAUACUACAUGAUCUUUUUGUAUCUCAUUCUGCUGCUUCUUGGUUAUUAGAUGCUUUGAGUUUGAGUGGCUUGAAGAUACAGAUUACACAAUGUUCUGUUCUGUCAUAUGCCAUGUUGAUAUGGAUACAAUGUUAGCUUUUGAUAUGAGCUAGAAUUAUGUUGCCCCACCAGCCUGAAAAUGUGAUAAAUAAAAGCCUACAAUGCUCGUUUAUUUGUAUUUACAGGCUUCCUUGUGCAGAUAAUUUACUCUUUGUUCCAUAGGAUCACAUUUGGUAGUGGCGUGACCUGAACCUUGAUGCUUUCUUCUUGCUGCUGCUGCUGUAUUAUGUAAUGGAACUGUUAGAUAAGGUAGUUAACUGUCUAGCCGUAGGUCUUAGUAGUGCAGAUUCAUUUUCUUUUCUAGGGUGUGCAGAACAAGAUCAGGAGAUGGUAGUAACUGGCAGCUACUUCUGAGUAUAAAUUUUGCUUUUCUGGAUUAUCAUAUUCCUUUUGUUUCUCAUAAUGAAGCCGCCGGGCAGUGCUCCAAUCUUGUAUUACUGGGCAGUGCACGCCGUUGCCACCAGUUGCGCCUUGCGCGGCCGAGGGGCGCCAGCCGCAGGUGCUCGAUGCGGCGCUCCCCUGUCACUCCUUCUGCGACCGCUCCAAGAUGAGUGCUUUACGCUUACGGCUCAUGCUAACUGAACUGGUGAUGUUUCUUUCUUCACCUCGAUUGACGCCACAUGUCCCCCCUGUCUCAGGUUGCCACGUCGUCCUCGUCUUCGGCUUGCAAGGGACUGGAUCUGGUGUGAUUGAUUCUUCCUCUCGCAAGGUUAUGAUGGCCGACAAACAGCUCCAAGUUCACAGGUCGCCAGGCUCGCCGAGUGACGCUGGCUCCAACGGUGGUCUGUGAGCACUUGCCCAGGUCAAUUGAUAUUUGUGGUGGCCCUUCUCUGUUUUUACUUGGAAAAAUUUAGUCUGUAUGUGCCUCAGUGAUUUUUAAAAUCAAAGGAAAUGCUCUGUGCAGAAAAAUACAUAUCUAAUCUAGGGGGUAUAUGUAAUAGCGGUAGAUAAAUAAUAAUCUUUAGAUUCAGGCAGUAUACUACAAUCUGCCUUCUGGAGAGGGGCCUAUGCUUGCUAAGUUCUUUGUACGGUGCCUUCAGGGAGGCUGUGUGGUGCCGGCCGGAUGUACGGCGAGGUCUUCAUAAUGGCAUCUAGUCACCCUUGCCAUAUGGAUCAUAUGUAAGCUCUUCCUGCUAACCUACAGGAGUACAUUUUGAUGCUUCAAGUCUGAACCUAUGUAACUUGUGAACUAAUGCCUCCCUGAGUGUGUGUGUGUGUGUGUGCACGCGCUAUGUUAAAUCAAACUUCUUCAGACUACUGUGAAGUAAUGCCACUUGUCAUAUUGACCAAAUUUCAUUGCUUGAUGGCCAUUUAGAGAGGCCAUUUAGAGUUGUCAAAAAUCUAGGACUGUGAAGUCUAUUUACACUGUCAAAAAUCUCGGACUGUUUUCAGAGUUGCUACAACAAUGGAAUUUUCAGUUUGACAAAACAGUUUAAACUGAAAAUCUGGGACUUCACAUUUGCUACAACAGAGUUGUCAAAAAUUCAGUUUACACUGUUAGUUUGACAAAAACUGUCCAAACUGAAAAUUCAGUUAUAAUGGUGUAGGCAUUGUUAAUCUUUGGGGAUAAUUGUAGAUGUUGUGAAGUGAUUUAGAUGUCUGCUUUGCUGCGCAUACUGGCAUCAAAUAAUUCCAACUUAAUUCAGUAGAAAAUUGGUAACUCAUGUAGGUUGGCAUCAAAUUAUUGCCAGUAAUACAUUUAUUGGCAAU